GCAGUCGAGCGAGCAGAACCAGCAGAUUUACUUCGGUAAUGACGCUGGGGACGCGAGCGGCGGAUGGGUGAGUAACACGUGGGGAACCUGCCCCAUAGUCUGGGAUACCACUUGGAAACAGGUGCUAAUACCGGAUAAGAAAGCAGAUCGCAUGAUCAGCUUAUAAAAGGCGGCGUAAGCUGUCGCUAUGGGAUGGCCCCGCGGUGCAUUAGCUAGUUGGUAAGGUAACGGCUUACCAAGGCAAUGAUGCAUAGCCGAGUUGAGAGACUGAUCGGCCACAUUGGGACUGAGACACGGCCCAAACUCCUACGGGAGGCAGCAGUAGGGAAUCUUCCACAAUGGACGCAAGUCUGAUGGAGCAACGCCGCGUGAGUGAAGAAGGUUUUCGGAUCGUAAAGCUCUGUUGUUGGUGAAGAAGGAUAGAGGUAGUAACUGGCCUUUAUUUGACGGUAAUCAACCAGAAAGUCACGGCUAACUACGUGCCAGCAGCCGCGGUAAUACGUAGGUGGCAAGCGUUGUCCGGAUUUAUUGGGCGUAAAGCGAGCGCAGGCGGAAGAAUAAGUCUGAUGUGAAAGCCCUCGGCUUAACCGAGGAACUGCAUCGGAAACUGUUUUUCUUGAGUGCAGAAGAGGAGAGUGGAAUUCCAUGUGUAGCGGUGGAAUGCGUAGAUAUAUGGAAGAACACCAGUGGCGAAGGCGACUCUCUGGUCUGCAACUGACGCUGAGGCUCGAAAGCAUGGGUAGCGAACAGGAU
rnacentral:rRNA from 1 species